ACGCUGGCGGCGGCCGUGCUCUAACACAUGCAAGUCGAGCGGAAAGGCCCCUUCGGGGUACCUCGAGCGGCGAACGGGUUGAGUAACACGUGAGCAAACCCUGGCCCUUGGCUUUUGGGGAUAACCCUCGGAAACGGGGGGCUAAUACCGGAUAUGACAUCUGAUCGCAUGGUUGGGUGUGGAAAGUUUUUCGGCCAGGGAUGGGGCUCUCGCGGCCUAUCAGCUUGUUGGUGAGGGUGAUGGCCUACCAAGGCGACGACGGGGUAGCCCGGCCCUGUAGAGGGCGACCGGCCAACACUGGGACUGAGAACACGGGCCCAGACUCCUACGGGAGGCAGCAGUGGGGGAAUAUUGCACAAUGGGCGGCAAGCCCUGAAUGCAGCGACCGCCCCGGCGUGAGGGAUGACGGCCUUCGGGUUUGUAAACCUCUUUCAGGCAGGGACGAAGCGAAAGUGACGGUACCUGCCAGAAGAAGCGCCGGGCCCAACUACGUUGCCAGCAGCCGCGGUAAGACGUAGGGCGCGAGCGUUGUCCGGAUUUAUUGGGCGUAAUAAGAGCUCGUAGGCGGCUUGUUCGCGUCGACUGUGAAAACCCGGCGGCCCUCAAACCGUGUGGGUCCUGCAGUCGAUACGGGCAGGCUAGAUAGAGUGUCGGUAGGGGGAGACUGUGAAUUCCUGGUGUAGCGGUGAAAUGCGCAGAUAUCAGGAGGAACCACCGGUGGCGAAGGCCGGGGGGUCUCUGGGCCGAUACUGACGCUGAGGAGCGAAUAAGCGUGGGGGAUGCGAACAAGGAUUAGAUACCCUGGUAUAGUCCACGCUUGUAAACGUUGGGCCGCUAGGUGUGGGGGGCCUCUCCCGGUUCUCUGUGCCGCAGCUAAACGUAUUAAGCGCCCCGCCUGGGGAGUAGGAGUACGGCCAGCAAGGCUUAAAACUCAAAGGAAUUGACGGGGGGGCCCGCACAAGCGGGCGGAAGCAUGCGGAAUUAAUUCGAUGCAACGCGAAGAACCUUACCUGGGUUUGACAUGGGCGCUAAAGCCCGCAGAGGUGCGGUUGUCCUUCGGGGGCGUUCACAGGUGGUGCAUGGCUGUCCGUCAGCUCGUGUCGUGAGAUGUUGGGUUAAGUCCCGCCAACGAGGCGCAACCCUCGUUCCAUGUUGCCAGCGGGGUAAUGCCGGGGGACUCAUGGGAGACUGCCGGGGGUCAGGCUCGGAGGAAGGUGGGGAUGACGUCAAGUCAUCAUGCCCCUUAUGUCCAGGGCUUCACGCAUGCUACAAUGGCCGGUACAAAGGGGCUGCGAUACCGCAAGGUGGAGCGAAUCCCAAAAAAGCCGGUCUCAGUUCGGAUCGAGGGUCUGCAACUCGACCCCGUGAAGUCGGAAGUCGCUAGUAAUCGCAGAGAUCAGCAUUGCUGCGGUGAAUACGUUUCCCCGGGCCUUGUACACACCGCCCGUCACGUCCCACGAAAGUCGGCAACACCCGAAGCCGGUGGCCUAACCCUUGUGGAGGGAGCCGUCGAAAGGUGGGGCUGGCGAUUGGGACG
rnacentral:rRNA from 1 species